UGGGUUUGGAUCGAUCUCUCCAG
rnacentral:misc_RNA from 1 species